CGGUCGGGGAAGAUCCCACAUGCCGCGGAGCGGCUGGGCCCGUGAGCCACGGCCGCUGAGCCUGUGCGUCCGGAGCCUGUGCUCCACAACGGGAGAGGCCACAACAGUGAGAGGCCCGCAUACCGCAAAAAAAAAAAAAAGAAAAAAAAACAA